rnacentral:rRNA from 1 species
GACUAAGCUGUCUCUUACGGAUAUUCAAUGAAAUUGAUCUUUCAGUCCAAAAGCUGAAAUACCUACACCAGACGAGAAGACCCUGUGGAGCUUCCUAAACCAAUACCAACCCCUAUGGUUAUACGGUUUUUAGUUGGGGCGACUUCGGAGAACAAAAAAACCUCCAACUUGGAAAUUUUCCUAAUUAAGAUCUACACAUCUAAAUAUACAACUUGACCCAGUAGGCAUUAUCCCUAUCUGACCAAGGAACCAAGUUACCCCAGGGAUAACAGCGCUAUCCUCUUUUAGAGUCCCUAUCGACAAGAGGGCUUACGACCUCGAUGU